rnacentral:rRNA from 1 species
UACGGGGGGGGCAAGCGUUGUUCGGAAUUACUGGGCGUAAAGGGCUCGUAGGUGGCCAACUAAGUCAGACGUGAAAUCCCUCAGCUUAACUGGGGAACUGCGUCUGAUACUGGAUGGCUUGAGUUUGGGAGAGGGAUGCGGAAUUCCUGGUGUAGCGGUGAAAUGCGUAGAUAUCAGGAGGAACACCUGCGGUGUAGACGGCUUACUGGACGGUAACUGACGCUGAGGCACGAAAGCGUGGGUAGCAAACAGG